CAGUCGCCACGGUAAUACGUAGGGUGCAAGCGUUAAUCGGAAUUACUGGGCGUAGAGCGUGCGCAGGCGGUUCUAUAAGACAGAUGUGAAAUCCCCGGGCUCAACCUGGGAACUGCAUUUGUGACUGUAGAGCUGGAGUGCGGCAGAGGGGGAUGGAAUUCCGCGUGUAGCAGUGAAAUGCGUAGAUAUGCGGAGGAACACCGAUGGCGAAGGCAAUCCCCUGGGCCUGCACUGACGCUCAUGCACGAAAGCGUGGGGAGCAAACAGGAUUAGAUACCCCCGUAGUCCCUGUCUCUUAUAC
rnacentral:rRNA from 1 species